CCCUGAGGCGCUGAGGGAGCGCCGGGCGCGGCCCCGGGUAGCCCAAUAACGAGAGCAAAAAGGAAGCGAGUGACGCGUGUUAGGAAGAAAAAGCACCAGCAGGGGUUUCUUCCUCAUUAAUAACAUUUAAAACCACGCUGUUUCCUUGAGGGAGGACCCCUCGGCUUUUCGGAUUUUUUUUUUUUCCAGUACGAUUCCACACCCUUCAGCGCAGAAGACCCCGGCUGCUUUUGUACCAUUUGAACCCUGACACAGCAGCCUGAAGACAAACCUGACUGCUCUGAGUUUCCUGUGCUCCCACCAUGGUUAAAUGCUUCUCUUCAGCUGAAAACUGUAAUUUAUUGCUCACAUGCCCAUGCAGUAAUUUCAUAAAUUCACAUGCAUAAGCUGAAGUGACUUAGGAACCAUGUACAUGGAGGUGAAGCAAUUAACAGUCCUGCAGGAGAUAUCCCUUUCACUCCACACUUUCUAAACACAAGAAGGAAUACCAUAUUGAAGGUACUUGACAGGGCAGAAUAUCUAAUUGAGAUUUCUGCUUUGGACUGUUUGAUUAUGCUGAUGAACUGAAAUUAUAUAUAAUUAAAGGGAAAAAAUAGUAGAAAUUCUACUCUCUGAUAUCAUCUGAGGAAAUAAAUUGUAUUGCUCAGGCUUGCAGUGGUUAUGUCUUUAGGAAUAGCUAAUAAAAAUGGCAAAUUUCUGUAGCAAUGGUG